rnacentral:lncRNA from 10 species
CAGUUGUCCCAACUCAUGAAAAAGUCCCAAAGAGAAGAGCUGUUAAGUCCAGGUCUCUACCAUCUUCACCAUCCCCACAUGGACAUGGGUCAAGGUUGCGUCCCAUACAUGAGGAGACAAGAGGAAUGUGUUGGGGUAAAGGAAUACGUAAGAUGUUGCAGCUAGAAGCUUUGGAUGAAAAGGGAUUCCAAGAAAAUGAGGCAAUCUCAUCUCAAAACUGUUGAAAACUACUCUCCUGUCUCUCGAUGAACCGUCAGUAGGAAAGGCGUCGUUUAUUCCCUCACUCCACACUGGAUUCAAAUGGGCUGAUAGCAGGAGGACUAAAAAAUUUUUCAUCAUGAGUUAAAGCCCUAAGAUUUAGAGUAUUUUGUUUGUCUGAAUGUCUAACUGGUACAAACCUUAGCAAUCCAUAUUAAAACGGAG